AGCGAACGCUGGCGGCAGGCCUAACACAUGCAAGUCGAACGAAGCCUUCGGGCUUAGUGGCGGACAGGUGAGUAACACGGGGGAACGUACCGUUUGGUUCGGAACAACUCAGGGAAACUUGAGCUAAUACCGGAUGAGACCUCAGGGGGAAAGAUUUAUCGCCGAAAGAGCGGCCCGCGUUAGAUUAGCUAGUUGGUGAGGUAAAGGCUCACCAAGGCAACGAUCUAUAGCUGGUCUGAGAGGAUGAUCAGCCACACUGGGACUGAGACACGGCCCAGACUCCUACGGGAGGCAGCAGUGGGGAAUCUUGCGCAAUGGGCGAAAGCCUGACGCAGCCAUGCCGCGUGAAUGAUGAAGGUCUUAGGAUUGUAAAAUUCUUUUACCAGGGACGAUAAUGACGGUACCUGGAGAAAAAGCCCCGGCUAACUUCGUGCCAGCCGCCGCGGUAAAAC
rnacentral:rRNA from 1 species